rnacentral:tRNA from 1 species
CGGCCGGGUGGGCCGGCUCGAUGGGCUGCCGCGGUCAGGGAUCGCGGGGGAGACCGAGGGCGCGCUCUCCGAUGAUGUUCAACUGCACCUCGGUCGU